UUUUACUAGACAGCGUCUUGCUGUCACUUGUGAUAAGCACCUGGCAACCCUAGCCUAAGGCUCUGCCACAACAUCAAAGACAUUUCCUUGCAAGUUGCUGAUGCUCAUGGUCUCUACAGGGCCAAGCCCACCCACCCCCAACCUGUGCCUAUGAAGAUCCCAGACUCAUUUGGUAGAAGGGAAGAUGGCCAGACUUCAGUGAGAUGGCUGGACUUCAGGGAAGAGAUGGCUGGGCUAUGGAAGAGACAACCUGACUAUGCGGGAAAAUGACCAGCCUAUCCAGUAUCCUCUGCAGUUUGCCUCUCCUUGGAGAGCCAUUUUCAUUGCUUAAUAAAAUUCUCUGCCCUUCAA